UACGAAGGGGGCUAGCGUUGCUCGGAAUCACUGGGCGUAAAGCGCACGUAGGCGGAUUCUUAAGUCAGGGGUGAAAUCCCGGAGCUCAACUCCGGAACUGCCUUUGAUACUGAGAGUCUCGAGUUCGGGAGAGGUGAGUGGAACUGCGAGUGUAGAGGUGAAAUUCGUAGAUAUUCGGAAGAACACCAGUGGCGAAGGCGACUUACUGGACACAUAUUGACGCUGAGGUGCGAAAGCGUGGGGAGCAAACAGG
rnacentral:rRNA from 1 species